GUAUCCAUGGUGUAGUGGUUAUCACAUGCGCCUGACACGUGGAAGGUCCCAGGUUCGAGACCUGGAGGGUACA
rnacentral:tRNA from 1 species